AUGUUGGUGCAGCUGAGUGGACCCCUAAAUUAUGUUAACUAUCAUAUCGCAAGUUUAUUUUUGGAUCUAGAUAUUAAGUCGUGGACAACAUUAUCAUUAUUUAAAAUCUUUCUUGGAUGUAUUCAAAUAAAUAAUUUCGUGUUUGUUCGGAUAAACAAUUCAAAAUUCAAAGACAUGUUUAUUUGUACUGCUGAUGUAACAAAUGUAUGA